CCUACGGGGGGCAGCAGUGAGGAAUAUUGGUCAAUGGACGAGAGUCUGAACCAGCCAAGUAGCGUGAAGGAUGACUGCCCUAUGGGUUGUAAACUUCUUUUAUAUGGGAAUAAAAUGUUCCACGUGUGGGAUUUUGUAUGUACCAUAUGAAUAAGGAUCAGCUAACUCCGUGCCAGCAGCCGCGGUAAUACGGAGGAUCCGAGCGUUAUCCGGAUUUAUUGGGUUUAAAGGGAGCGUAGAUGGGUUGUUAAGUCAGUUGUGAAAGUUUGCGGCUCAACCGUAAAAUUGCAAUUGAUACUGGCAGCCUUGAGUACAGUUGAGGUAGGCGGAAUUCGUGGUGUAGCGGUGAAAUGCUUAGAUAUCACGAAGAACUCCGAUUGCGAAGGCAGCAUACUAAACUGCCACUGACAUUGAUGCUCGAAAGUGUGGGUAUCAAACAGGAUUAGAUACCCUUGUAGUC
rnacentral:rRNA from 1 species